CUGCCCGGGGUGGCUUCCCCGCGGCUGAUUGGCGUUCCCUGGGGGUGGCGGGCUGCCUUCCCCUGUCCCACAGUCCCCAGCCACUACCGAAGCCUCCUCCCAUUUAAAUAAGUUUUAUGUCCCUGGGCAGUACACGACCGUGGCUACGCAAGCACUCCCCAACUUCCCUUUCGGACAAACUGGCUACCCUGGAUUCUUCGUAAGCAGAAUUUCCGGAGCUGCCUCUGCCCACAGUUGAUAACGCAAUUGAAUGGGGGCAAUUUAUUGCAUUUAGAGCUGACAGGCUGUUGGUUUACUUUUUAGAUGAGAACAGGGGUUUUAUCUCGGUGUGUGCUGCAUUCCCUCUCUGCAGAACAAUGCCUGGACAGAAUGAGAGAACUGAAGCGAACCGUCAUGCACUUCCUGAAUUUGCAGAAGAGGAACGCCUGCUCCUUUGUAGGGUCCCAGUCCCAUUUUUAAUUAGGAUUGCCAGGAACUGUGCCAUGAAGUCCCCCCCUCCCGCCGGGAGUUUGGAAUAUUUUUUUUCUUACAUGGGGAAGUUAUUGCCUUAUAAAAUUCAUAAUGUUAUACAAUUAUUAUAAUAAACUGAUACUCACUAUCA